rnacentral:rRNA from 1 species
GCGGUAGAGAGAAGCUUGCUUCUCUUGAGAGCGGCGGACGGGUGAGUAAUGCCUAGGAAUCUGCCUGGUAGUGGGGGAUAACGUUCGGAWWCGGACGCUAAUACCGCAUACGUCCUACGGGAGAAAGCAGGGGACCUUCGGGCCUUGCGCUAUCAGAUGAGCCUAGGUCGGAUUAGCUAGUUGGUGAGGUAAUGGCUCACCAAGGCGACGAUCCGUAACUGGUCUGAGAGGAUGAUCAGUCACACUGGAACUGAGACACGGUCCAGACUCCUACGGGAGGCAGCAGUGGGGAAUAUUGGACAAUGGGCGAAAGCCUGAUCCAGCCAUGCCGCGUGUGUGAAGAAGGUCUUCGGAUUGUAAAGCACUUUAAGUUGGGAGGAAGGGUUGUAGAUUAAUACUCUGCAAUUUUGACGUUACCGACAGAAUAAGCACCGGCUAACUCUGUGCCAGCAGCCGCGGUAAUACAGAGGGUGCAAGCGUUAAUCGGAAUUACUGGGCGUAAAGCGCGCGUAGGUGGUUUGUUAAGUUGGAUGUGAAAUCCCCGGGCUCAACCUGGGAACUGCAUUCAAAACUGACUGACUAGAGUAUGGUAGAGGGUGGUGGAAUUUCCUGUGUAGCGGUGAAAUGCGUAGAUAUAGGAAGGAACACCAGUGGCGAAGGCGACCACCUGGACUAAUACUGACACUGAGGUGCGAAAGCGUGGGGAGCAAACAGGAUUAGAUACCCUGGUAGUCCACGCCGUAAACGAUGUCAACUAGCCGUUGGAAGCCUUGAGCUUUUAGUGGCGCAGCUAACGCAUUAAGUUGACCGCCUGGGGAGUACGGCCGCAAGGUUAAAACUCAAAUGAAUUGACGGGGGCCCGCACAAGCGGUGGA